rnacentral:rRNA from 1 species
UCGGAGAGUUUGAUCCUGGCUCAGGACGAACGCUGGCGGCGUGCCUAAUACAUGCAAGUCGAGCGAAUCGACGGGAGCUUGCUCCCUGAGAUUAGCGGCGGACGGGUGAGUAACACGUGGGCAACCUGCCUAUAAGACUGGGAUAACUUCGGGAAACCGGAGCUAAUACCGGAUACGUUCUUUUCUCGCAUGAGAGAAGAUGGAAAGACGGUUUACGCUGUCACUUAUAGAUGGGCCCGCGGCGCAUUAGCUAGUUGGUGAGGUAAUGGCUCACCAAGGCGACGAUGCGUAGCCGACCUGAGAGGGUGAUCGGCCACACUGGGACUGAGACACGGCCCAGACUCCUACGGGAGGCAGCAGUAGGGAAUCUUCCGCAAUGGACGAAAGUCUGACGGAGCAACGCCGCGUGAACGAAGAAGGCCUUCGGGUCGUAAAGUUCUGUUGUUAGGGAAGAACAAGUACCAGAGUAACUGCUGGUACCUUGACGGUACCUAACCAGAAAGCCACGGCUAACUACGUGCCAGCAGCCGCGGUAAUACGUAGGUGGCAAGCGUUGUCCG